UGUAGGAUGGUUUAGUGUCGUUCUGGCUGUAUUUCAUGGACAUGAGACACAAAAAGCUUCCGUGCUGUUUUGCCAUCUUGGCCUCCUUUUCCUAAUUCUUGUACCUCCAUCCUCACCAAAGGGACAACAGCCAAUCUGGGCUCAGAUGCCAUUCAGGCAUUUUUCACCUCGGAUUUCCCCCACUGCCAUUGUGCCUGGGACCUCAAUGCUCCUCUUCCACUGGGCAGGGCCAGUUCUCCAGGUCCUGGUCUCAACCUGCUCCAAACCUUGAGGGCAGUGUCAGAGAAUGGCCACAUUACGAGAACAGAGGCGAAUCUGGACCUGGAAAAGUCUUGUCCUUUGGCCCUGCACCAGUUGGACCCAAAAUCCGAGA